UUUUUUUUUUUUUUUUUUUUUUUUUGUAUGUGUAAGAGAGAGAAAGUGCCAUCUGGGGUUACAUUUCUAUAAGGAAAUGAUGCUCAGUCAUAAAACGACAAGCAAUAUUAAUAGAAUAUUAUACUUCCUCAUCUAUAGAUGACCUUUAAAGAGAAUUGUAGUUAUUAUCUCACAAUAUUCCUUCAUUUAUUAGCUGUCCCUUUUUUGAGUUCCCCUGCUAUUAUAUAGCAGAAAUAUAGAUGCAUGACAUAAAAAAUAGAGAAAUAUGAUUUAACCAUUAUAAUGGCUCAAAGCUCUCAAGUUUAAUUCAAUUUUUUUUCUCAUUAUAUGAAAGGAGUUGAAGCUGCUGGUAACUGCUGCACCAGGCCAUUUAGUAGAGAAAUCCAGACAACUUUAUCUCCAACCAUUAAAUUAGUCAUAAAGGGCAUUUUAUUUUUCAGACUUGGUGGAAGUUCAUUAAAGUGAUUGGAUAGGCUUGUAGGAUUACAUUAUGAGAUAUUAUUGUUGGGGAAGUCAUCUAGGUCAUGAGUAAAGUGACUGAUUUGGACAGUGAUAAAUGAUAACACAGUCUCAUUUUUUUUUCUCUUAUUCUACAAAAUCUCCUCUAUCAUAUAUUAAAAAGAAAAAAAAAUAAGACCAUUAGGAUGGCUGAUGAAUUGAACUUCCAAAAAAGAAAAAAAAAAAAUCUUGUCAUGUGAACAUGNAAAAAGUCCAGAAAUGAACCAGUCUAAAUCUCUACAUGGAAGAAAAAUAUAAUUUACUUUUAUUAUUUCCUAUCGAAUAUCGAUUGGGAAUUUAUGUGCAAGAUCUCGGCAUUCUAGAGGAUGCAGAGAUAAGAUUUUAACUUCUCAUUACUCUGAACCUUUUUCCAUUGGGAUUAAAGAAGUUUCAAAUCACUAUCCUAUAUAAUUAGUGACUUUUUCCUUUUUUUGUUUGUUUUUACUUCUUUCCUUCUGUCCCCAAUUGCUUAAUCUUCUGGGUAGUUUUCCCCAUCAUUUCAUCUCACAAGUUACCUUUCUCCUCCCAGAGUUUUGAGAAUAUUAGGAAAAGGGGGUAAGUACGGGUUAUGUACUAUAUGCAAGUCAUUUUCUAAGUUUUCUCUAAACCACUGUGAUAAUGAGUGGACUCAGAAAGUCAAGCACAGGUUCUGGUUACACAGUUAAUAAACUGGGAACUGGAGUUUGAACUCAAGUCUGUAGAAUCACAGAACAUAUCACUCCCACCCCAGCCCCCUGACUUGCCUGACAUCUGUCUUAUUUAACUGAAUGCAUGGAUUUUGUUGUAUCUCAUUUUUUCCCUAAAAUUGAGGGAAAAUUAAGAUCAACUGGAAUCUCUGAGGGAUUUGGAUGUUGGAGAGUUAUUCUUUUCUCUAUAGAUCCUAUGCUUAGCUGUAUUUAGAGCUAUUAAAACAUGAUUUCAGAGCAAAAAGCAUAAGAUUUUAGAAAGAGCCUUUGAUCACAGUCAGCAGAUUUGUGGCCGCCUUCAUUUGGUAGAGUCCAGGUGACCCCUUGCAUGAUUCUCUGACUUCUGAAUGGAUAAGAGAGACAACAGUAGCCCUGGACAAUUUUAAUUGAAGCUUCAAACCUCAUCAAGGACACGAAAUCACUCUGUCACCCCUGCCCUUGUAUCCCCAGGGACAUGCCUCUAACUAUCUUGUUUACUUCUGCACCCACCUUGUCUAAAUUGUUCCCAUCUCAUGGUGAUAAUAAAUAGCUGUUGUUUGUGGAUGUAAAUACUCAACUAAUGCAACAUGGCAUAUUGCCAGUCCCUUCAUCUUGAUAACAUUGUCCCCACUGGAGAGAGAAAUAUUUGUUUUGUAGAUAUCAGUGUGUUUAUGAUAGAAAGGACUUUUCAGGUCUAAAAUUCUUCAUUACCGAAUUAUCACAGAGCUUGAACCAUUAUGUUCCCCCAGCAUUUAUUUUAACCUUAAAAGAGAUAGGCAAAAAGUAGAGAUUUUUUUCUCAAACCUUCCUGACAACUAGGACAGUUCUAGCCAGGCCUAAAGCAGUAAUGAAGAAGCCCAACUUCCAGCCACUCAUUGCUACUCAUUGUCCAAGAGUAUAUUCUUGCUGUGAUUCCCAGAGGGUCACGAAUAGCCAUGAUAUGUAAAUAAAACAGAUUAUUCUCUUUAAGUUGGAAUCAUGGGGCUCUUAGCAGGCAGAGGAAAAGGAGUCACAGAAAAGACCGCAGAGAGUUUUAUAACCCUGUCAUCUUACCUUUUCCCACAUCAUUUCUCAUGUAACUCAAGUGUGGUUUUUAACUAUUAUCUCCCUCGUGAUAUUUAUGUCCGGAUUAGCAUCUGGAUUUACAUCGAUCUCCAUAAGAGGAUUCGUCCUACGAUCCACAUCAUUUAAGUUGUUAGUACCGAGCAGAGAAUGAGUUAAAGACUGGUCAUGUAAACUAUUACACUUGUUGUGCUAGGGAUGGUAAGCAGCCUCAGGAGUGGCUCAGUGGAUUUGAGCUUGGUACCCUUGAUUCAAUUUGUCCAUGAGAGAAAUUACUAGCGUAAGGGCUUUACUUAAAGAGGUUUAAUUGAGAGAAUGGUGUGAUAACCAAAGAAGGAGGACUAGAGGUGAUGCUUCUGGUGUCAUCCACCAAAAAUGAUUGCUCAAGACGUGAAAGUGAAUGAGGAGUUCCCAUUGUGGCUCAGCGGUUAGAGAACCUGACGGGCAUCCAUGAGGAAGCAGGUUCCAUCCCCAGCCUCACUCGGCUCCAUGGGUUAAGCAGAUGCAGCUUGUAUUCUGCAUUGCUGUGGCUGUGGUGUAGGCUGGCGGCUUCCGCUCCGAUUCAACCCCUAACCUGGGAACCUCCAUACUCCAUGGGUACAGCGCUAAAAAACACCAAAGGCAAAAAAAAAAAAAAAAAAAAAAAA
rnacentral:lncRNA from 1 species